rnacentral:lncRNA from 1 species
AUGGAGAAGAAAGAUAGAAAGAAGGAAAAGAAAGAAGAGGCAAAAGAGAUGAAGAACAGGGAGAUGAAAGAAGAAAAGGAAAAGAAGAACAGACGAAAGCAAGAAGAAAAAGAAAGACUUGAGAAAGUAAAAGAAGAAGAACAAGAAAAGAGAAGAGAAAAGCAAAGAAAGAAGAGCGAAAAGGAAGAUGAAAGAAAUAAGAAAGAAAAAGAGGAAGAAAAGCAGGGGAUGACACACGAACAACCAAUCGUACCAAUCCUCAAUACUAAAACCUUACUGAUUUCCCCCACCACCCCUACUCCCCCCUUCUCCCCCGCCGUCUUUCGAACCCUCCUCAUCAUUAAAAAACAACAGGAAAAUGAGAGAGAGAGAAAGAAGAAAGAAGAAGAAGAGGGAAGGGAACAAAGGAAAAAGGAAGAAAAAGAUCGAAUGGAAAGACAGAAAACACUGACAGUUAAACACAUGGAGAGGAUGUCAAAGAAACUAAACCUACACACCCUCAUCCCUAAACCCAGCAACACUUCCACCUUCCGAACCCCCCCUACUUCUUCCUACCACAUCCUCCCUUCUCCUCCCUUCUCCAAACCCCUUAUUCAUACCCUUCCUAACAUCAAGGAAGAGGAGGAAGAGGAAAUCAAGGAGAAGACAAUGAUUAAGCAAAUGGAAAGGAUGUCAAGGAAACAAUCCUUUUUACCCACCAUCAUUCCAAAACCCACAUCCAUUGCCAGCUUCCCCACCCCCCCUACUUCUUUCUACCCCAUCCUCCCAACUCCUCCCUUCUCCAAACCCCUUAUUCAUACCCUUCCUAACAUCAAGGAAGAGGAAAUCAGGAAGAAGACAAUGAUCAAGCAAAUGGAAAAGAUGUCAAGGAAACAAUCCUUUUUACCCACCAUCAUUCCAAAACCCACAUCCAUUGCCAGCUUCCCCAACCCCCCUACUUCUUCCUACCCCAUCCUCCCUACUCCUCCCUUCUCCAAACCCAUCAUUCAUACCGUCCCUAACAUUAAGAAAAAGAAGGAGGAAAUGAAAAAGAAGGCAAUAAUGACCCAAGUAGAAAAGGUGUCAAGGAAACAAUCCUUCUUCCCCUCCAUCACUUCAAAACCCACCCCCAAUCCCACCUUCUCCCUCCCCUCUACUUCUCCCUUAUCCCUUGGCUCUACUCCUCCCGUCUCCAAACCUCUUGUUUAUAGCCUCCCCACCCCUCCCAGUCACACCCUCUCUCGCAAGAAUCGCAGGUUCCACAAUCACCUCCACCCACAACCGCCACUCCCCCCCCCACUAGCCGGAUCCUCAUAUGUGCCAAUUCUUCCCUUCCCCAUCACCUCCACUCCCACUUUCCCUCCAAUCCCUACCUCCACCUUCCCCAUCAGUUCACCUUGCCCAUCACCUUCACUCCCACUUUUCCUUCCACCCCUACUCCCACCUUCCCAAUCAGUCCCUGCCAGGGGGGACUGGGGCUGA